GGCAGCAGCCGCGGGAACACCGGCGGCCCGAGUGGUGAUCGUGAUUAUUGGGUCUAAAGGGUCCGUAGCCGGUUUGGUCAGUCCUCCGGGAAAUCUGAUAGCUCAACUAUUAGGCUUUCGGGGGAUACUGCCAGACUUGGAACCGGGAGAGGUAAGAGGUACUACAGGGGUAGGAGUGAAAUCUUGUAAUCCCUGUGGGACCACCUGUGGCGAAGGCGUCUUACCAGAACGGGUUCGACGGUGAGGGACGAAAGCUGGGGGCACGAACCGGAUUAGAUACCCGGGUAGUCCCAGCCGUAAACGAUGCUCGCUAGGUGUCAGGCAUGGCGCGACCGUGUCUGGUGCCGCAGGGAAGCCGUGAAGCGAGCCACCUGGGAAGUACGGCCGCAAGGCUGAAACUUAAAGGAAUUGGCGGGGGAGCACAACAACGGGUGGAGCCCUGCGGUUUAAUUGGACUCAACGCCGGACAACUCACCGGGGGCGACAGCAAUAUGUAGGCCAAGCUGAAGACUUUGCCUGAAUCGCUGAGAAGUGGUGCAUGG
rnacentral:rRNA from 1 species